rnacentral:rRNA from 1 species
CCUACGGGAGGCAGCAGUGGGGAAUUUUGGACAAUGGGCGCAAGCCUGAUCCAGCUAUUCCGCGUGUGGGAUGAAGGCCCUCGGGUUGUAAACCACUUUUUUAGAGAACGAAAAGACACCUUCGUAUAAAGGGUUUUGCUUACGGUACUCUAAGAAUUAGCACCGGCUAACUACGUGCCAGCAGCCGCUGUAAUACGUAGGGUCCGAGCGGUAAUCGGAAUUAAUGGGCGUAAAGGGUGCGCAGGCGGUGGAGUAAGACAGAUGGGAAAUCCCCGGGCUUAAAUCGGGCAUGGCAUAUGUGACUGCUCGACUAGAGUGUGUCAGAGGGAGGUGGAAUUCCACGUGUAGCAGUGAAAUGCGUAGAUAUGUGGAAGAACACCGAUGGCGAAGGCAGCCUACUGGGACAUAACUGACGCUCAGGCACGAAAGCGUGGGGAGCAAACAGGAUUAGAUACCCGUGUAGUC